rnacentral:rRNA from 1 species
AUUGAACGCUGGCGGCAGGCUUAACACAUGCAAGUCGAGCGGGGUGAUGGUGCUUGCACUAUCACUUAGCGGCGGACGGGUGAGUAAUGCUUAGGAAUCUGCCUAUUAGUGGGGGACAACAUCUCGAAAGGGAUGCUAAUACCGCAUACGUCCUACGGGAGAAAGCAGGGGAUCACUUGUGACCUUGCGCUAAUAGAUGAGCCUAGGUCGGAUUAGCUAGUUGGUGGGGUAAAGGCCUACCAAGGCGACGAUCUGUAGCGGGUCUGAGGGGAUGAUCCGCCACACUGGGACUGAGACACGGCCCAGACUCCUACGGGAGGCAGCAGUGGGGAAUAUUGGACAAUGGGGGGAACCCUGAUCCAGCCAUGCCGCGUGUGUGAAGAAGGCCUUAUGGUUGUAAAGCACUUUAAGCGAGGAGGAGGCUCUUUUGGUUAAUACCCAAGAUGAGUGGACGUUACUCGCAGAAUAAGCACCGGCUAACUCUGUGCCAGCAGCCGCAGUAA